GCCUGGGUGGCUCAGUCGGUUGAGCAUCUGACUUCGGCUCAGGUCAUGAUCUCACAGUUCGUGAGUUCAAGCCCCACAUCGGGCU
rnacentral:tRNA from 1 species